rnacentral:rRNA from 1 species
GAUGAACGCUGGCGGCGUGCUUAACACAUGCAAGUCGAACGAUGAAGCUCAGCUUGCUGGGUGGAUUAGUGGCGAACGGGUGAGUAACACGUGAGUAACCUGCCCUUAACUCUGGGAUAAGCCUGGGAAACUAGGUCUAAUACCGGAUAGGAGCGCCUACCGCAUGGUGGGUGUUGGAAAGAUUUAUCGGUUUUGGAUGGACUCGCGGCCUAUCAGCUUGUUGGUGAGGUAAUGGCUCACCAAGGCGACGACGGGUAGCCGGCCUGAGAGGGUGACCGGCCACACUGGGACUGAGACACGGCCCAGACUCCUACGGGAGGCGGCAGUGGGGAAUAUUGCACAAUGGGCGAAAGCCUGAUGCAGCGACGCCGCGUGAGGGAUGACGGCCUUCGGGUUGUAAACCUCUUUCAGUAGGGAAGAAGCGAAAGUGACGGUACCUGCAGAAGAAGCACCGGCUAACGACG